ACAAGGUCUCCGUUGGUGAACCAGCGGAGGGAUCAUUAAAGAGUUAUUACAACUCCCAAACCCAUGUGAACCUUACCAUUUGUUGCCUCGGCAGGUCGCAGCUUACCCUGUGAGAUCCUACCCUGUAGGGCCUCACCUGGUAGUUGCGGGUAAUCCUGCCGGUGGUCUACCAAACUCUGUUUACUAUGUUAUUCUGAAUAUUAUAACUAAAUAAGUUAAAACUUUCAACAACGGAUCUCUUGGUUCUGGCAUCGAUGAAGAACGCAGCGAAAUGCGAUAAGUAAUGUGAAUUGCAGAAUUCAGUGAAUCAUCGAAUCUUUGAACGCACAUUGCGCCCAUUAGUAUUCUAGUGGGCAUGCCUGUUCGAGCGUCAUUUCAACCCUUAAGCCCCUGUUGCUUAGCGUUGGGAGCCUACAACCCUCUGUAGCUCCUCAAAGUUAGUGGCGGAGUCGGUUUCACACUCUAGACGUAGUAAUUUUUAUCUCGCCUAUAGAUGAGCCGGUCCCCUGCCGUAAAACCCCCUAAUUUUUAAAGGUUGACCUCGGAUCAGGUAGGAACUUAAGCAUAU
rnacentral:rRNA from 1 species